UAGCGUUCAAUUAUUCAGCGAAGUGGUCGAUCGUUUUUAAAACACGGGAGAGGGGAAUACGGUAUGCGGGUGUGUCGUAUGCCGCGCCGGUGACGGAGCCCGCAGGCGGCGCCGUGCCGGGCGCUUUCCUGAGCCGUGGCUCGGGAAGGCGUUGUACUGCUGAUCCGUGGCUCGGGAAGUGGGACUUCCGCUGUCGGUGGUGGGCAGGCUAGUAAAUGAGGAAUCAGAUCGUCGUCGUGCUGUCCCCACCUCUGGCCACUCUUUCUUGGAUCGCCAUUGACGCACGCGGAGGUCGGCGGUGGAUGAAAUACACGGCGGCGCUUGUGGGGAUGGAGUUCCUGAUGCAACCCAUUAGGAGGGCCGCCGUGGUGGAAGAGGUCAACGACAACCAGCUUCCAAUGUUGCCGCUCCACUACCCCGCGGUGGCGAUAGGGGCUGAAGAGCUACCCCCCAUGGCGACAGGCAGAUCUGUGCGGCGGAUGGGGCACUCGCAGCCGGGAGCGAUGAUGAACCACAAGCAUCUAAGCAAUCUAUUGAUCAGAUUGAUCCAAAAACUCCAGGCUGGACUCGAAGGGUUAGAAUUGGAGUUCCUACUCCAGUAAGAGCGCCUUGCCCUGGGUGACCCAGCGCCCUUGAGAAGGCAAUACGGGGGUUCGCUGACAAACCGGGCAGCAUUGUAAUUGUGCCAGCCCUGGGUAUGAGCUUCGAUACACUCGGGGUGGCCUAUGUGAAUGCCCCACCUGGAUUACAUUCUCUACUUGUGGGAGAAGGGAUUUGAAAUACGUGAAUGAUGAUGCUAAUUCUGCGAGUGACAGUGGGAACAGACUCGUUGGUUUGUUGGCGCCAAAGAAACGGAAAGAAAUGAGGCGCCCAACAACCAGCUGGGAGAAGGCACCGUACGAGGGGCUGAGCAAGUGGACGAGGUUCUGCAGCAUAUGUCGCAAGCAGGGCCACAAACGGACUACUUGCCCGGACUGUGGUGAUGCCCCGAAGCCUGUUCGGAAACCAGCAAGGUGCAAAAGUUGUGGAAUUGAAGGUCACAGGCGAAACAACUGCCACAAAGUGGGUGAUCUGCGGAUGACUGGCAUGUGAGCAGUUGCAGGACCCUGUCUGUCAAGACUAGAAAUAUGUAGAACUUAAUGUGUGCGGCUGUAGUUCCAUCAGUAGAACUCCUCUAGUGUCAUGCUUGUUGAGUGUGUUCGACUGCUGCUAUGCAUGGCAGAAUCAAAUAUGGAUUAUCAGAAAUAAUGUAUGCUUGAAUUGGUCUGAAUGUCAACGUAUUAGUAUUCGCACGA